rnacentral:rRNA from 1 species
AUUAACGCUAGCGGCAGGCAUAAUACAUGCAAGUUGAACGGCAGCACAGGUAGCAAUACUGGGUGGCGAGUGGCGCACGGGUGCGUAACACGUAUGCAACCUACCCUAUACAGGCGAAUAACCUUUAGAAAUGAGGGCUAAUACGCCGUAGUAUUACAGAUGGGCAUCUAUUUGUAAUUAAAGAUUUAUCGGUAUAGGAUGGGCAUGCGUCCCAUUAGUUAGUUGGUAAGGCAACGGCUUACCAAGACGAUGAUGGGUAGGGG